rnacentral:rRNA from 1 species
GCGAUUCGCCCUUCGGGGUGCCCAGGCGCGAAAACUUUGCAAUACACGAAAGUGUGACAGGGUCAUCCCGAGUGCCGACCGCUGAGGUUGGCUUUUACCCAGUCUAGAAAGCUGGGGGAAUAAGGAGAGGGCAAGUCUGGUGUCAGCCGCCGCGGUAAUACCAGCUCUCCGAGUGGUGUGGACGUUUAUUGGGCCUAAAGCAUCCGUAGCUGGCUGAACAAGUCCCCUGUUAAACCCACCGAUUUAAUCGUUGGUCUGCGGGGGAUACUGCUCGGCUAGGGGACGAGAGAGGCAGACGGUAUUCCCGGGGUAGGGGUGAAAUCCUAUAAUCCCGAGAAGACCACCAGUGGCGAAGGCUGUCUGCUAGAACGCGCCCGACGGUGAGGGAUGAAAGCUGGGGGAGCGAACCGGAUUAGAUACCCGGGUAGUCCCAGCUGUAAACGAUGCAGACUAGGUGUUUGGACGGCCACGUGCCGUUCUAGUGCCGCAGGGAAGCUGUUAAGUCUGCCGCCUGGGGAGUACGAUCGCAAGAUUGAAACUUAAAGGAAUUGGCGGGGGAGCAC